AGGAUUAACGCUGGCGGCGUGCCUAACACAUGCAAGUCGAACGAGGUAGCAAUACCUAGUGGCAGACGGGUGAGUAGCGCGUGGUCAACCUACCGUUGAGUGGGGGAUAACUAGCCGAAAGGUUAGCUAAUACCGCAUACGUCUCCGAGGGGCAUCCCUUGGUGAUAAAAGGAGCAAUCCGCUCGAUGACGGGACCGCGUCCCAUUAGCUAGUUGGUGGGGUAACGGCCUACCAAGGCAUCGAUGGGUAGCUGGUUUGAGAGAGCGACCAGCCACACUGGGACUGAGAUACGGCCCAGACUCCUACGGGAGGCAGCAGUGAGGAAUUUUCCGCAAUGGGCGAAAGCCUGACGGAGCGACGCCGCGUGUGGGAAGAAGGCCUUCGGGUCGUAAACCACUGUCGAAGGGGAAGAUAAUGACGGUACCCUUGGAGGAAGCCCCGGCUAACUCGUGCCAGCAGCCGC
rnacentral:rRNA from 1 species